GACGAACGCUGGCGGCGUGCUUAACACAUGCAAGUCGAGCGGUAAGGCCCUUUCGGGGGUACACGAGCGACGAACGGGUGAGUAACACGUGGGUGACCUGCCCUCAGCUCUGGGAUAAGCCUGGGAAACCGGGUCUAAUACUGGAUAUGACUCCAUGACGCAUGUUGUGGGGUGGAAAGCCUUGUGCGGCUGAGGAUGGGCCCGCGGCCUAUCAGCUUGUUGGUGGGGUGANGGCCUACCAAGGCGACGACGGGUAGCCGGCCUGAGAGGGCGACCGGCCACACUGGGACUGAGACACGGCCCAGACUCCUACGGGAGGCAGCAGUGGGGAAUCUUGCGCAAUGGGCGAAAGCCUGACGCAGCGACGCCGCGUGAGGGAUGACGGCCU
rnacentral:rRNA from 1 species